rnacentral:rRNA from 1 species
AGAGUUUGAUCCUGGCUCAGGACGACGCUGGCGGCGUGCCUAUACAUGCAAGUCGAGCGAACCGAAGGGAGCUUGCUCCUUUAGGUUAGCGGCGGACGGGUGAGUAACACGUGGGCAACCUGCCCUGCAGACUGGGAUAACUUCGGGAAACCGGAGCUAAUACCGGAUAACACCGAAAACCGCAUGGUUUUCGGUUGAAAGGCGGCUUUUAGCUGUCACUGCAGGAUGGGCCCGCGGCGCAUUAGCUAGUUGGUGAGGUAACGGCUCACCAAGGCGACGAUGCGUAGCCGACCUGAGAGGGUGACCGGCCACACUGGGACUGAGACACGGCCCAGACUCCUACGGGAGGCAGCAGUAGGGAAUCUUCCGCAAUGGACGAAAGUCUGACGGAGCAACGCCGCGUGAGCGAAGAAGGUCUUCGGAUCGUAAAGCUCUGUUGUCAGGGAAGAACAAGUGCCGUUCGAACAGGGCGGUACCUUGACGGUACC